rnacentral:rRNA from 1 species
UUCUGGUUGAUCCUGCCGGACCUGACUGCUAUCGGAUUGAUACUAAGCCAUGCGAGUCUUUGUAGCAAUACAAGGCAGACGGCUCAGUAACGCGUAGUCAACCUACCCUAUGGACGGGAAUAACCUCGGGAAACUGAGUAUAAUGCCCGAUAGAACAUUAUGCCUGGAAGGGUUUAUGUUCCAAAUGAUUUAUCGCCGUAGGAUGGGACUGCGGCCUAUCAGUUUGUUGGUGAGGUAAUGGCCCACCAAGACUAUUACAGGUACGGGCUCUGAGAGGAGUAGCCCGGAGAUGGGUACUGAGACACGGACCCAGGCCCUAUGGGGCGCAGCAGGCGAGAAAACUUUGCAAUGUGCGAAAGCACGACAAGGUUAAUCCGAGUGGUUUCUGCUAAAGGAACCUUUUGUCAGUCGUAAAACCACUAACGAAUAAGGGGUGGGCAAGUUCUGGUGUCAGCCGCCGCGGUAAAACCAGCACCUCAAGUGGUCAGGAUGAUUAUUGGGCCUAAAGCAUCCGUAGCCUGCUCUGUAAGUUUUCGGUUAAAUCUGUAUGCUCAACAUACAGGCUGCCGGGAAUACUGCAGAGCUAGGGAGUGGGAGAGGUAGACGGUACUCGGGAGGAAGUGGUAAAAUGCUUUGAUCUCUCGAUGACCACCUGUGGCGAAGGCGGUCUACCAGAACACGUCCGACGGUGAGGGAUGAAAGCUGGGGGAGCAAACCGGAUUAGAUACCCGGGUAGUCCCAGCUGUAAACUAUGCAAACUCAGUGAUGCAUUGGCUUGUGGCCAAUGCAGUGUUGCAGGGAAGCCGUUAAGUUUGCCGCCUGGGAAGUACGUACGCAAGUAUGAAACUUAAAGGAAUUGGCGGGGGAGCACCACAAGGGGUGAAGCCUGCGGUUCAA